ACAUAACUAUUCUCUUUACGCAAAACCCUGAACCCACUUUUCUUAAGUUCAUGGGCGACUCCACAGCAACAUCACAAUGGCUACCCACCACCUUCACCUUAACUUUCUCUGUUGCAGCCAUUACUGCUUUUUUUAUACUGGGAAAAAAAUGGAGAGCCAUGGAAUCAAAUGUCAAAGAAUUGGAGGCAUCUCUUAAAUCUUCUGUUGAUAAAUGUGCUGCUGAACGACAAGGCCGAAUUAGAGCUCAACAGGAAUUGAGGAAGGCACUUCUGCAACAGAAGACAGAGAAUAUGGAUCCAACAUCUUAUCCCAUGAUUCCGAUUGGUACAGUCCAAUCUUGCUUCUCAACCAGGAAUGGUACGCCUAGACAACCUUUGCUGGUGCCACUUGCUCGAGCAUGUUUGAUGUUUGACCCAAUGAGGGUUCCUCCGGCAUCUUUGGAAGGUCUUGAAGAGUAUUCUCAUAUUUGGAUUAUAUAUGUGUUCCACUUAAAUACUGAUUUGGAUAAGUUGUGGUUAGAGCCUUCCAGAUCGAAGAUCAAAGCCAAGGUGAGGGUGCCACGAUUAAAAGGAGGCAAAAAAGGAGUAUAUGCAACAAGAACCCCCCAUCGUCCCAGUCCAAUUGGUCUAACUGUUGCUAAGAUCGAGGCUGUACAAGGACACAUGAUUUUACUUUCUGGUGUUGAUUUGGUAGAUGGAACACCAGUACUGGAUGUGAAGCCCUAUCUUCCAUAUUGUGACAGCAUCCAAGAUUCAAUGGUGCCAGAAUGGGUUAAGGAAGACAGCUUAUUAGCUGUGGCUUCUGUUAUUUUCUCUGAGAGCUUCCACUCUGCUCUUGCAGAUUGUUGGGAAUCAGUGAGAAGAUGAAAGGGAAAAAAUACUUGAUUGAAGAUCUCAACUCACAGUCGCGUCGUGGAACAAUAAUCCACUGCCUUAGAAGAGAAAUACGCCACCACCGGUACAAGUUUCCUAGUGACGCACACCCCCCAAGUUUAACGCAACUCUCCCCGUAAUUCGUGCACCCGAACCCGAAGAGUGGAAUUGCUCAAGAACUGUUCAGAUCUCAAAGGGUAGGUUUUUUGUUUAUGUGUUAAGGGUUCAAUAAUAUUAAAAUUAUGAAUACAGGAAAGGCAAUGCUCGUAUUUAUAUGUGUCCCAAAAUUAGGAAACAAAUAAACAAAUCGACCUAAGGAAAAAAGGCGGGUCCGAUCGGGCAACCAGCCGCCCAAUCGGGCGCGAGAUGAAGUUUUCCAGACCUGGUGUCGCGCCCGGUCGGGCGAACCACUGCCCGAUCGGGCGAUCUAGAAAACCCACCUCGGGCGAGCCAUUCGGGCGAGAGCCGCCCGAUCGGGCUCUUCAUAAACUCGAGUCCGUCGCCUGGUCGGCCGAGGGCCGCCUGAUCGGGCGCGAGAGUUCUCCUAUUUUCCUUAGCCACCUCCGCCCGGUCAGGCGAACCACCGCCCGAUCGGGUGCGAGAAUCCGUUUGCAUUACCUAUUUCCAACAAUCCCCCACUAAUGCGAGCGGAUCUUCAACAUGAAAUCUGAACAGUAAAUGAAAGUCUUAGUACUUAAAUGCUAGUAUCCAAAGGUUUGAACUAACACAUCAGUGCACAAGGUUUUCAACACUUCCCUAGUGAGUAUCUUAAGAUUUGAACUCCUAGGAGCGAGGAAGGGACCUUGAAUACACAUACCUUGACUUUAGAGCUUAAGCAACUCCGCCAAUCUUGGCCUACACCUUGGGCUCUCAUGAGUAAUUCAGGAAAACUACACCACAAUUUUCCUUUGAAGGAGGCCACCCCUCGUACUCACGUAGGUGUUCUGUCUGUGUAUAAAUACACAUUCCCAGCACAUCUAGGGUCUUUCCUUGCAGGCUUAAAACACAUUCAAGCACCUUGCAAACCCAAGAUUUUUCUGUGCAAUAGAAUAAGAACAUUAAGAACGAAAAGUUCAACCCUAUCAACUCGACGGUGCAUCUAUCAAUCCACUGCUCAAUGAGCUCUUAGGCUAGAUGCAUUAAGGGAUACUCCCAACCUCAGUCAUUCGGUACCACUAUCGUUCCCUACUCGAGAAGUAUCAGGGCUAGUGAUUCUAAUGCAUUUAAGGAUCACUGUCGUUUCCUACUCUCAAGCAACUGGGCUAGUAGUAUUAAGAGCAAGCAAUGCUCAACCUUCCACCUUCGGUGUCAUUUUCAAUCCUACUCUAAGAGCCACUGGGCAAAUAAAUUAAGAGCCAGACUCAACCUUACUAAAUAGAAAAAAAAAUUAUAGAUUCAAUAAACAUAAAUGGUGUAAAUCCAACAAUGAGUUAACCAAAACAAGGCUCUAGACCCAUUCAGAACAAAAGUUCAAUAAAUUACAACACUUCGGUGUGUCCAUGUAAGCCGUCUCAAUUGACCACCCAACCUGGGUUAUGGACAUAUUAAGAGCACUUAAAGCUCAACCUGUAAACAUCAAGCAAAAAGUCUAUCAAAGUAUCUCAUAACCAUAUAAAUUAGAGGGUUAUCAAGAUAACUUCCAAACGUAGACUCAUCUUUUAAACUUCGUCACUAGAAUAAUUUAAAAUACCCCACAGGUUCUUAAAUAUAUUCUCUUAGACAAUCAAGCACUUACCUGUGCUUCAUCCUAGUAUAAGGACCUGCUUGAUUCUUCUUUACUUUCACGUACUCUAACAUGAGUAUCACCUCCACAAGAUCUGUCUAAUUUUGUCACUACAUCUGUAGUUCCUGACAACAUACAUAGACACUUGUGAAAAAUAAUGUAGAGAACAUGAGGAUCACCUUACCCCCACAAUGGACAAACUUCCAGAGAUUAAUUUUAUCAACAAUCAUCUUCUUGACACACGUCAUCCAAUCUAAUGAACCUUUGCUUCAUAGUGGAUAGUGUACAACAAUUUGUUUUGCAGCUCACUCGAAACAGAGCACUGCCCUUCAUCAUGUAAAAGCCAUACACUGAAGAGGUUCAACUAAUCAUCGUUGUUCAUUCAAUCAUUGUCUCUUAGAAUUUACUGGAUAGGUACUUGAGAAACUUUCUCACUUUAACCUUCAUCCCUAAACUAUCUGAAACUCAGACAAUAAUUGAGUAAUUCUCUCUUAACAAACAGAAUGAACAAUAUAGUUCACAACAAAAACACUACACGUCAAGAAUAGUUUGUUCAUCAUUUAGAUUGCAAAACAUUAACACAUUUGUAUUAAACACCAAGGCCAAAUAAUAAAAAUAAAAAUAACUCUGGCUUAGGCAUGAUAAAUAUAAAUUACCAAACCACUUUCUCUACAUCACAAUAAUGAGAUUGAUGCGUAUCUUUAUUAGUUCAUUGGUAUACUGCCUAGAACUAUUCUGCUCAUCUCAUUAUCUUGUACUUGUUUCUUGGCUUAGAGACACAUAUACAUCUUUAUCUCAAUAAACAACAUGCAUGUGAAGUUAGUAACUUAUGAUCAUUCUAGCAAAUGAACUCUAUCAAUGCGAACCAUAGUAACAUCACACAUGCAUCGAGAAUUUCAACUCACAUGCCAAGAAAAACUUAACAUAACAAGUUAGAGUACUCAAAUCUAACCCCCACUCACCAUACAUAUCACAAAGGAUAUAACAUCAUGAGCAAAAAUACCUCAUCUUCUAAGUUGUCACCUGUGUAUGCGUUUUAAAUACACACCCUUGAUUUACAAUCAAUCAUGCUAGGAAGCUUAAGCAACCUUACUGCAAAUCAAACAAGCUUAGAACAAACCAGGUGAGUAAUAAGAGCUGAAGCACCAAACUUACAAAAUAAAUCCUAAAAACAUAGUAUCUUACCUUUAGCCCAUUUCCAAUCAACCACCUUUCAACUCACCUUGAAAGAUACUUACAACAGAUGGAUUUCUAAUAGCAAGGAAAGAUAUACUCUUCUCAAACAUAUCAGACUCAAAGAGAGUGCACAACUCGCGUUUACAUGCUUCUUUCCACAACUAGUCAAUCAGGUUUAUCCAUAUGGUUCAGAAUUUUUCCAUUCACCACUACAUGAAUAUAUACCACACAACAAACAUCUACAUACAACUCGAUUAAGAAAGUAAAACCAAGAUGAUAUAACACUAGUUUAAGCUUUAAUCCAAUACACCUUAGAUGAUGAACUCAUCAACUUUACUGGCAGAAUAAAGCUUAGGAAGCAAGAACAAAUCCUAUGAACGAGCAAAACUAACAUGUCAUGUCACAGGAAAACAUAUAACUUGAGACAUUUCAAGGAUUUAACAUAACAAGCUCGUACAUGAUAAACGUAGCAGAUAUUCAGCAUACAUAUCACCCACAGUCCCACAAGCCUUCAUACUUUACGUGAAACAUAUCUAGAAGUCAAUUCUUUAUUAUUGGAAACCCCCACAUCACAGAUACCACAUGAAAAUAAUCAUAAAUCAGGUAACAAAUUAGGGAGUAUAAACCAAAUUCUUGGGUGAAAUACUUACUAAACAAAUAAACAACUGAUACAUAUCUGCAACCCCCACAAUACUAACAUUCACAAAAGAUUAAUAGUUUGUAAAGACAUAGAAUGUUAAUUCCCAUCCUUACCUCAUGUGGGGCACUUACACUUCAAACUUGCACGACCAUUCUAGCUUUACUUAGUCAAGCCUUUUUUAUUCUGCUAAUAAGUACGGAAAUCAACUUGGUCUCAUCUAGACCAUCAACAAGAAAAAUAAUUGCUACACCUCUAGCAAAUUAAAUACAUUUCAAGUUCGUGAACAAAAUUAAGAUCACAAGAAUUAAAAGAAACAAUAAUUCUAAAUCCCUUUUUAAUCUAAAAAGGGACACUUACAAGCUUAUCACAUACUCUGUGCUCAACAAAACAUUGUCCAUGAUUGGGAAUAAGGUCAACAAAACACUAUCGUAAGAUUAAACACAUGUCAUCCCUAAUCUACUAGGACAAAACAUACAUUAGCAGAAAUAAAUUACUUGCAAACCAACAAGCAAAAAGCUAUAGAUAAAUGUCACUUUCGGAGACCUUCCUCCUCAAUACCACUCAUCAACAAGAGUACAAACUAACUUACUAGUUAGUCACAAAAAUCUAACUCAAAACACCCCCACAUUGCUAAACAAUAGCUCAUAAUAAUUAAAUUAUGCAUAUAUAACAGAGGCACAUAAUAAUAGACACAAAUAUUAUAUGGAGUUAGAAAUUACUUAAAUAAAUUGAGAAGGAUAACUUAUCUGAUAUCUUGAUUAUAAUCAUAUGCCAUAAUAUCUCGCCACUAGCUGCGUCACUGAUGAAUUGUCAUCGAGGCUUUAUCUCAAACAAUAUUGAAAUCAAUCCACUUUAUUGCAAUUUUGAUUAUAGAUUUAUAUAGCAAAUAAAUCUCCCAUAACCGACUUGAUCGCAACAAAUUAAUCAUGACAUUAAACCUUGAGGAGAUUAAGCCCAACUUGACAGCAACUUUACCAAAUCAUGGUAUAUGAUUUUGACGACAGAUGCGCAUAGCAUGAUCAUAAUCGCACACUUUAAUUAUAUUCCAAAUUAAAACCUUUAGAAUUCCAUUACUUCCACCGAUACUCUUCAAUGGAAAUUGCAUCCUUUCCAUUUUAUUUUUUCUUUAAUUCUUUAGAGAAUUAUGGUCCAAAAUGGAGACAAGACUUGAUGAUACCACAUGGAGAAUUUUUUAUUCAUUUUUUGAUUAGGAGUACAGCAAAAUCAAAAGAUUAUGAUUCCCAAAUUCGCAAUACAACGUUACGGAAAUUCGACAAUAAACCUUUGCCGAUCCCGAAAUUAAUUGCUCUUGUGAAUUUCUCACUCCGAAUCCAUUAUCUGAUCACUAAUUAAAUAUUCCCUAAAAAAUUAGGGUUCUUUGAACUUCAAAUAAUAUGAACGUUGACUUAACAAUCCCAAAUUAAUUUCGAAAAAAUAAUGAUCAUCUGAAUCGUAAAUAUCCCGAUCAUACUAGUUAUAAUUGAAAAAUCUAGGAAUCAACAGUAUAAUAAAUUAAUACUAUUUCGCUUCUAAAUUGUUGGUAAAAUACCUGUCGAUUCCAAUAACAAAAUAGAGAAGAUGAAAGGGAAAAAAUACUUGAUUGAAGAUCUCAACUCACAGUCGCGCCGUGGAACAAUAAUCCACUGCCUUAGAAGCGAAAUACGCCACCACCGGUACAAGUUUCCUAGUGACGCACGCCCCUCAAGUUUAACGCAACUCUCCCCGUAAUUCGUGCACCCGAACCCGAAGAGUGGAAUUGCUCAAGAACUGUUCAGAUCUCAAAGGAAGAGAAGCAGUUUGUAUUCAUCACAAAGUGAGAUGAAGAAAUUGAUUGAGCAGGUUCUUUCAUGGGACAUACGAUCAUCAUCACAGAGACACCGACCUCAUAAAUCCAUAUUGACAGUAGGAAACGUAGAACCAGCC